GUGAUAUGUCCAUCUGACUUUGAUUUACAUGGUUCAUUUGUCGAACAGCAAUAUUUCAUGUUUUUUUUGUUAUUCAAAUUCUGUAAGCAAUAAUUGCAUGGUGUAAAUGUUGUCUGGCAUGGUUUUUAUAACCUUGACCUCAUUUUCAUUAUUUAUUAGUUGAUGUUCAAUUUUUUGUAAUUAUAUUUCAUUUGAUAUAUGGGUUCCUUGUAAGGUCUACAUGUCUGGCAGACAGGGUUCAUCUGACUUCAACCUCAUUUCAUGGAUCAGUGAUACAGGGGUCACCACACCAGGUGAAGUGAGCUAUAAAGUCACUGUAGGUCUCCCCACUUCGCUCUAGAGAAGCUCCAGAGAGAAGUUUAUGUCACCCUCAUUUUCAAUAAAUACCCCAAUGUCGCCUCAUGAUUUUUUGAGAAAUUCUCUAUCCAAACGUAAACAACCAAUAGGUAAUGAAAUACAAUUUUGUUAUGUUUGUUUAUUGUCCAACAUCUUCGUAAUUUAAAAUUGUAGAUGGCGCCA
rnacentral:lncRNA from 1 species